GGACUGGUAACUGGGGUGAAGUCGUAACAAGGUAGCCGUAUCGGAAGGUGCGGCUGGAUCACCUCCUUUCUAAGGAA
rnacentral:rRNA from 1 species